GUUUUCAAGAAAAUCAUAGUAAUCGAGAGUGAGUACAAGGCGUGUGUUCUCCUAACCAGGCGAAUGACUGAUGGAUGGGGAUGAAACGCAACUCAAUUCGGAGAAGUCUGAAGCGGUGGUGUUGUUGGUGAAUAGCCUCCACUCGUGAGACAUGCUCGAACUCCUCGACGCAUGAUGUAUGGCGAGACGAGCAUGUGGCAAUGGCGCUUCAGGAGGCAGAGUGUGAAGUUGCGCCUCUCCUCGAGGGAGUCCUGCACAGUCUCCACGUGGUGCGUCCAUGUGAUACGGUGGCCACGAAGGCGUUGUGGACAAUGUGGUUCAACACAACAGAGAAGGAGACGCGAUUCGACAACAGUGAGCGGGGGAGAGUUAAUCGGCGGCACGCGGCGACAGGGAUGUAGUUCGCGGAGUUGACUCUGUUCGAAGCAUUAUCGCUAGGUGCAUAGGAAGUCCACAAAACCGUGGAGAUUAUUAUUAUUUGGGGUGAAUCUUGUGACGAGAUUUUUUCUUUAUGGACCUCCUGGUUGUGGUAAAACACUGAUUGCCAAAGCUGUUGCCAAUGAGGCACGGGCUGAUUUUAUUCAUAUUAAGAUUAAGUUGGGAGAACCUGGCUGGAAAGAGAGGUAUUAUGAGGAAAAAAUUUCUGCCAAAACUCCUGAGGAACUUGAAGCUAUACGUAAAGAUGUCAGAUCAAUUUAUGAACUUAUGUAGAUGAAUAAAGGCAAGUGAUGAUGAAGGGGGUGUGGCAGACUAGGGGAGCAGAGCUGUAGCAGAGGAUUUUGAUUAUAGACUACUAAUUAAUUUCUGCUAAAGAAUAUUCUCCAAGAUGUGGAUGAGUUGUCUAGACCAGCUUGAAAGAUAGCUUUUAGGUAUAUGCUUUAGUUCUUGGCCUACCGAGGGAAGAGCUUUUGGAGCGUAAGAUACAGGAGGCAUAGUCAAAGAAAGAUACCCUCAAAGCAAGAGCUAAGUCUGCAAAGUUCUUGUAAAGUAUAAGACUUGGUCGUGGUAGGUAAAUUUUAGUGUUAAUUAAUCUUUCACAAUGGCUUAACCUCAAUUACUUGUCUUGUUGCUAUGCUUGCUAGAAGGAACUAAUUUGAGGUAUAAUAAAGGUUCUGGCCUUCUGGGUAUUUAUACAAUUAUGCAGCUGCUAGUGAUGAAAUAUUUUGAAGAUGCCCUUGCUACUUCAAUGGUGUCAUUUGAAGUUAAUUGGUGAAUGAGUUGAAAAAGCAAAAAGUGGGUUCUCUCUAGGAGUUUCAAAAUACAGAACCGUAGCAAGGAGGCUGAUACAAAUUUCAAUUUUGGUGAUAGAGGUUACUUAUCUUUUGAACACAUUACCUGGGUAAGUUCUAGUAUGUUUAUUAUUAGUUUGUCUUUAGUUUAUUUUCAUGGGAUGCUUAUUUUGAAUUAUGUAAAAAGCUUCUGCACUUCACUCAAUUAAUUCAACUCAUGUUGACGAAGUUGUCUAGAAGCCAACUGAAAUAAAGUGGCUUUGGAGCAAGUUUAUAGUUAUUGUUAUUAUUUUUAUUAUUAUUGUUUUAACAUGUUUGUAAUAGGAAUCUCUUUAUUAACUACUGUAUUAUUACAGUUAGUUACUGUCAAAAAACUUUAUUAAACUUGGUUCUAUCAAAAUUUCUUCUGAUGUUAAUUAGAACUCUGUAACAUAUUUUCAUUUUCCUUUUAAAUUUAUGUUAGUGCUUAGUCAAUUAUCAAGUUUAAUGAAUCAGCAUAUAUUUCAUGAAUGUUGAUUAUGACCUGUUUUAGGUUGGUAGUUUAUGACCUUUGCUGUUGUAUUACUAUCUAA